GAUGAACGCUGGCGGCGUGCCUAAUACAUGCAAGUCGAGCGAACAGACGAGGAGCUUGCUCCUCUGACGUUAGCGGCGGACGGGUGAGUAACACGUGGAUAACCUACCUAUAAGACUGGGAUAACUUCGGGAAACCGGAGCUAAUACCGGAUAAUAUAUUGAACCGGAUGGUUCAAUAGUGAAAGACGGUUUUGCUGUCACUUAUAGAUGGAUCCGCGCCGCAUUAGCUAGUUGGUAAGGUAACGGCUUACCAAGGCAACGAUGCGUAGCCGACCUGAGAGGGUGAUCGGCCACACUGGAACUGAGACACGGUCCAGACUCCUACGGGAGGCAGCAGUAGGGAAUCUUCCGCAAUGGGCGAAAGCCUGACGGAGCAACGCCGCGUGAAUGAUGAAGGUCUUCGGAUCGUAAAACUCUGUUAUUAGGGAAGAACAAAUGUGUAAGUAACUAUGCACGUCUUGACGGUACCUAAUCAGAAAGCCACGGCUAACUACGUG
rnacentral:rRNA from 1 species